CCUCAGCGCCUCCAAACCUCUGGACGGGUGUGGGGGGACUCAGGAGGGAGGGGUCUGCUGCUAAUUGGGGCCAAACCAAACCCGGUGUGUCAGGGGAGACACCAGACAACGGUCCCCGUGACGACGGAGGACCCAGAAGAAGAAUACUCAGAUUCACGGUGGCUGCUGCAAAAUAAAAGAGGUGAGGCGCGCUGAGCUGAUCAACAAGACGUCCUUCAUCUCCACAAAGACGCCCCAAACACUGUUGAAC
ensembl:lncRNA